GACGAACGCUGGCGGCGUGCUUAACACAUGCAAGUCGAACGAAGUGGCGAACGGGUGAGUAAUACGUGAGUAACUGCCCUCCUUUUUGGAAUAACCCUUGGAAACGGGGUCUAUUACCGAAUAAUGGGGGAUGGCUCGCGGCCUAUCGGCUUGUUGGUGGGGUGAUGUCCUACCAAGCCGGUGACGGGUAGCCGGCCUGAGAGGGCGACCGGUCACAUUGGGAUGAGAUACGGCCCAAAAGCCUACGGGAGGCAGCAGUGGGGAAUAUUGCACAAUGGGGGAAACCCUGAUGCAGAAACGCCGCGUGCGGGAUGACGGCCUUCGGGUUGUAAACCGCUUUCAGCCAUGACGCGGUAGUGGCAGAAGAAGCACCGGCUGACUACGUGCCAGAAGCCGAAGUAAUUC
rnacentral:rRNA from 1 species